CCUGGCUCAGAUUGAACGCUGGCGGCAUGCCUUACACAUGCAAGUCGAACGGCAGCGGACCUUCGGGUGCCGGCGAGUGGCGAACGGGUGAGUAAUAUAUCGGAACGUACCUUUCAGUGGGGGAUAACGUAGCGAAAGUUACGCUAAUACCGCAUAUUCUGUGAGCAGGAAAGCAGGGGAUCGCAAGACCUUGCGCUGAUUGAGCGGCCGAUAUCAGAUUAGCUAGUUGGUGAGGUAAAGGCUCACCAAGGCGACGAUCUGUAGCGGGUCUGAGAGGAUGAUCCGCCACACUGGAACUGAGACACGGUCCAGACUCCUACGGGAGGCAGCAGUGGGGAAUUUUGGACAAUGGGCGCAAGCCUGAUCCAGCCAUGCCGCGUGAGUGAAGAAGGCCUUCGGGUUGUAAAGCUCUUUCGGCCGGGAAGAAAUCGCACGGGUUAAUACCCUGUGUGGAUGACGGUACCGGAAUAAGAAGCACCGGCUAACUACGUG
rnacentral:rRNA from 1 species